UAUUCUAAUAAAAUACAAAACAAUGGAAACUCCGAAGAAAUUCAUAUUUCUAAUUCAAAAAUAUGAAUUUCUUCGGAGUUUCCAUUGUUUUGUAUUUUAUUAGAACAUGUUAGAUC